AAAUUGAAGAGUUUGAUCAUGGCUCAGAUUGAACGCUGGCGGCAGGCCUAACACAUGCAAGUCGAGCGGCAGCGGGAAGUAGCUUGC
rnacentral:rRNA from 1 species